rnacentral:rRNA from 1 species
UAUUAACUCUGGCGGCGUGCCUAAUACAUGCAAGUCGAGCGAACAGACGAGGAGCUUGCUCCUCUGACGUUAGCGGCGGACGGGUGAGUAACACGUGGAUAACCUACCUAUAAGACUGGGAUAACUUCGGGAAACCGGAGCUAAUACCGGAUAAUAUAUUGAACCGCAUGGUUCAAUAGUGAAAGACGGUUUUGCUGUCACUUAUAGAUGGAUCCGCGCCGCAUUAGCUAGUUGGUAAGGUAACGGCUUACCAAGGCAACGAUGCGUAGCCGACCUGAGAGGGUGAUCGGCCACACUGGAACUGAGACACGGUCCAGACUCCUACGGGAGGCAGCAGUAGGGAAUCUUCCGCAAUGGGCGAAAGCUUGACGGAGCAACGCCGCGUGAGUGAUGAAGGUCUUCGGAUCGUAAAACUCUGUUAUUAGGGAAGAACAAUUGUGUAAGUAACUAUGCACGUCUUGACGGUACCUAAUCAGAAAGCCACGGCUAACUACGUG